AAACUUAAAUGAAUUGACGGGGGCCCGCACAAGCGGCGGAGCGUGCGGAUUAAUUCGAUGCAACGCGAAGAACCUUACCAAGGCUUGACAUAUACUGGAUCGCCAUAGAGAUAUGGUUUCCCUUCGGGGCUGGUAUACAGGUGGUGCAUGGUUGUCGUCAGCUCGUGUCGUGAGAUGUUGGGUUAAGUCCCGCAACGAGCGCAACCCUCGUUCUAUGUUGCCAGCAUUAGGUUGGGGACUCAUAGGAGACUGCCGGGGUUAACUCGGAGGAAGGUGAGGACGACGUCAAAUCAUCAUGCCCCUUAUGUCUUGGGCUUCACGCGCGCUACAAUGGCCGGUACAACGGGUUGCGAUACUGUAAGGUGGAGCUAAUCCCUAAAAGCCGGUCUCAGUUCGGAUAGAGGUCUGCAACUCGACCUCUUGAAGUUGGAGUCGCUAGUAAUCGCAGAUCAGCUAUGCUGCGGUGAAUACGUUCCCGGGCCUUGUACACACCGCCCGUCAAGUCACGAAAGUGGGUAACACCCGAAGCCGGUGGCCUAACCCUUUUGGGAAGGAGCUGUCUAAGGUGGGACUUGCGAUUGGGACUAAGUCGUAACAAGGUAGCCGUACCGGAAGGUGCGGCUGGAUCACCUCCUUUAUG
rnacentral:rRNA from 1 species